rnacentral:rRNA from 1 species
UACGUAGGGUGCGAGCGUUAAUCGGAAUUACUGGGCGUAAAGCGCGCGUAGGUGGUUUGUUAAGUUGGAUGUGAAAUCCCCGGGCUCAACCUGGGAACUGCAUUCAAAACUGACAAGCUAGAGUAUGGUAGAGGGUGGUGGAAUUUCCUGUGUAGCGGUGAGAUGCGUAGAUAUAGGAAGGAACACCAGUGGCGAAGGCGACCACCUGGACUGAUACUGACACUGAGGUGCGAAAGCGUGGGGAGCAAACAGG